UUUGUUUGAUCAAAUGUUGUUGCAUGGGUUAAAAGGGAAACAGGUGUGAAUCCUGUACGAUCUCGUCACUGUAUUGGAGGAGUGUGAGAUAUAGCGGUCGUUGAAUCGCAGUUACUAAAUUAUGGUUACUGAAUCAGAGAUACUGAAUUGCAAACAUUGAAAUGUAAUCAAUAGUGGUUACUGAAUCAGAGGUAAUGAAUUAUAGUAGCUGAAUCGAAAUCAUUGAAUCGCAGUCACUGAUAAGGAUAGGGUCCGGUAUUGAUCGGAUAUAUUCUGUUGGGAAGAUUAUCUUACGUGAUGAUAACUAAGCCAGGAAACCUGCUGAUAACUUGGUACAGAA
rnacentral:ncRNA from 1 species